rnacentral:rRNA from 1 species
UACAGAGGGGGCAAGCGUUAUUCAGAAUUAUUGGGCGUAAAGGGCGCGUAGGCGGCCAUUCAAGUGACGGGUGAAAGCCCUCGGCUUAACCGAGGAACUGCCUGUCAGACUGGAUGGCUUGAGACCGGGAGAGGUGAGUGGAAUUCCCAGUGUAGCGGUGAAAUGCGUAGAUAUUGGGAGGAACACCAGUGGCGAAGGCGGCUCACUGGACCGGAACUGACGCUGAGGCGCGAAAGCGUGGGGAGCAAACAGG